rnacentral:rRNA from 1 species
AACUAACGCUGGCGGCGUGCCUAACACAUGCAAGUCGUACGAGAAAGUUGGCUUCGGCCGAUGAGUACAGUGGCGCACGGGUGAGUAACGCGUGGAUAAUCUGCCCUUAAGUGUGGAAUAACGUACCGAAAGGUGCGCUAAUACCGCAUAAUGCCUGGCAACAUAAGUUGUCCGGCCAAAGAAGGCCUCUGCUUGCAAGCUUUCGCUAAAGGAUGAGUCCGCGUACCAUUAGCUAGUUGGUGGGGUAACGGCCUACCAAGGCGACGAUGGUUAGCUGGUCUGAGAGGAUGAUCAGCCACACUGGAACUGAGACACGGUCCAGACUCCUACGGGAGGCAGCAGUGAGGAAUAUUGCGCAAUGGGGGCAACCCUGACGCAGCAACGCCGCGUGAGUGAGGAAGGUUUUCGGACUGUAAAGCUCUGUCGAGCGGGAAGAAGUGUACCAUGGCUAAUAUCCAUGAUAUUUGACGGUACCGCUAGAGGAAGCACCGGCUAACUCCGUG